rnacentral:snRNA from 1 species
AAGAAAAGGCUAUGUUAAUGCUCU